rnacentral:rRNA from 1 species
GACGAACGCUGGCGGCGUGCUUAACACAUGCAAGUCGAACGGAAAGGCCCUGCUUUUGUGGGGUGCUCGAGUGGCGAACGGGUGAGUAACACGUGGGUAACCUGCCCUUGACUUUGGGAUAACUUCAGGAAACUGGGGCUAAUACCGGAUAGGAGCUCCUGCUGCAUGGGGGGGGUUGGAAAGUUUCGGCGGUUGGGGAUGGACUCGCGGCUUAUCAGCUUGUUGGUGGGGUAGUGGCUUACCAAGGCUUUGACGGGUAGCCGGCCUGAGAGGGUGACCGGCCACAUUGGGACUGAGAUACGGCCCAGACUCCUACGGGAGGCAGCAGUGGGGAAUAUUGCACAAUGGGCGGAAGCCUGAUGCAGCAACGCCGCGUGCGGGAUGACGGCCUUCGGGUUGUAAACCGCUUUCGCCUGUGACGAAGCGUGAGUGACGGUAAUGGGUAAAGAAGCACCGGCUAACUACGUG